UACCAGCACCCCGAGUGGUCGGGACGAUUAUUGGGCCUACAGCAUCCGUAGCCGGUUCUGCAAGUCCCCCGUUAAAUCCAGCUGCUCAACAGAUGGGCCGCGGAGGAUACUACAGAGCUAGGAGGCAGGAGAGGCAAGCGGUACUCAGUGGGUAGGGGUAAAAUCCGUUGAUCCAUUGAAGACCACCAGUGGCGAAGGCGGCUUGCCAGAAUGCGCUCGACGGUGAGGGAUGAAAGCUGGGGGAGCAAACCGG
rnacentral:rRNA from 1 species